rnacentral:sRNA from 1 species
UAAUACAAUAGGGAAUAAGUAUUUUAAUACAGCACCUUUUUUUGGUUUUUGUAGUUUAUGAACCCAUUUGUUAUAAAAAUUGACCUAAUAACAGCUUCUACUCUGUGAUGACACUUUAUUAAAAUCAGCUCAUGGUGGAAUUAUAAGCCAACUGUUAUAUAAGGUUUACAGAGAGUUCAACCUUGUUGAAGGACAGUGUUGAGCAAGAACUCCCUUCCUCUCCAAAACAACCUAUUUGUUUUGAUAGACAAUCAACAUUAAAAAAAACUAAUAUUGAUCCAACACGGAGGUAUCUUUACCUUCAGGUUUUGGGUGGAAAAGCUUUCUUGGAACAUCUGCAAGAACCUGAGCCUUUACCUGGACAAGUUUGUUCAACGUUUACUUUAUGUUUACAUUAUCGAAACCAACGUUUUCGUUCUAAACCUGUUCCAUGUGCCUGUGAACCAGAUUUUCAUGAUGGCUUUUUACUUGAAGUACACAGAGAAAGCUUGGGUGAUGGAACUAGAAUGGCUGAUUCAACAACAAUGUUAUCAAUAAGUGAUCCAAUUCAUAUGGUGCUAAUCAAAACAGACAUAUUUGGUGAGACGACUUUAGUAGCAUCGUAUUUUCUGGAAUGGCGAUCAGUUUUGGGCUCAGAAAAUGGAGUGACCAGUCUGACUGUGGAACUUAUGGGUGUAGGCACAGAAUCAAAAGUUUCUGUGGGAAUUUUAAAUAUAAAACUUGAAAUGUAUCCACCACUCAAUCAAACGUUAUCUCAAGAAGUAGUGAACACACAGCUUGCUUUGGAACGUCAGAAAACUGCAGAGAAAGAGCGAUUAUUUCUUGUAUAUG